AGAGUUUGAUCCUGGCUCAGGAUGAACGCUAGCGGGAGGCUUAACACAUGCAAGUCGAACGGUAAGGCUCACUUCGGUGAGUACACGAGUGGCGCACGGGUGAGUAACGCGUAUGCAACCUACCUUUAACAGGGAGAUAGCCCCGAGAAAUCGGGAUUAAUACCCCAUAAUAUUUCUUUUUGGCAUCAUUUAGAAAUUAAAGUUCCGACGGUUAAAGAUGGGCAUGCGUGACAUUAGUUUGUUGGUAAGGUAACGGCUUACCAAGACUACGAUGUCUAGGGGGUCUGAGAGGAUGAUCCCCCACACUGGUACUGAGACACGGACCAGACUCCUACGGGAGGCAGCAGUGAGGAAUAUUGGUCAAUGGGCGCAAGCCUGAACCAGCCAUCCCGCGUGCAGGAUGACAGCCUUAUGGGUCGUAAACUGCUUUUAUAUAGGAAGAAUUCCCCGAACGUGUUCGGGGUUGACGGUACUAUACGAAUGAGGAUCGGCUAACUCCGUGCCAGCAGCCGCGGUAAUACGGAGGAUCCAAGCGUUAUCCGGAUUUAUUGGGUUUAAAGGGUGCGUAGGUGGAAUAGUAAGUCAGUGGUGAAAUCUCUCGGCUUAACCGAGAAACUGCCAUUGAUACUGUUAUUCUUGAGUUUAGUUGAAGUGGGCGGAAUGUGUCAUGUAGCGGUGAAAUGCAUAGAUAUGACACAGAACACCGAUAGCGAAGGCAGCUCACUAAGCUAAUACUGACACUAAUGCACGAAAGCGUGGGGAGCGAACAGGAUUAGAUACCCUGGUAGUCCACGCUGUAAACGAUGAUUACUCGAUGUAUGCUCAUUAGAGUAUGUGUCCAAGCAAAAGCGUUAAGUAAUCCACCUGGGGAGUACGAUCGCAAGGUUGAAACUCAAAGGAAUUGACGGGGGCCCGCACAAGCGGAGGAGCAUGUGGUUUAAUUCGAUGAUACGCGAGGAACCUUACCUGGACUUAAAUGGUGAAUGAUUGAUCGGGAAACCAAUCUUUCCUUCGGGACAUUUAUCAAGGUGCUGCAUGGUUGUCGUCAGCUCGUGCCGUGAGGUGUCGGGUUAAGUCCCAUAACGAGCGCAACCCCUAUUCUUAGUUGCCAUCAGGUAAUGCUGGGGACUCUAAGGAAACUGCCAGCGCAAGCUGUGAGGAAGGUGGGGAUGACGUCAAAUCAGCGCGGCCCUUAUGUCCAGGGCUACACACGUGCUACAAUGGCCAUUACAAAGGGCAGCUACUUGGUGACAAGAUGCAAAUCUCUAAAAUGGUCUCAGUUCGGAUUGAAGUCUGCAAUUCGACUUCAUGAAGGUGGAUUCGCUAGUAAUCGCGCAUCAGCCAUGGCGCGGUGAAUACGUUCCCGGGCCUUGUACACACCGCCCGUCAAGCCAUGGAAGUUGGGGGUGCCUGAAGUCGAUAACCGUAAGGAGUCGCCUAGGGUAAAACCAAUGACUAGGGCUAAGUCGGAACAAGGUA
rnacentral:rRNA from 1 species